rnacentral:rRNA from 1 species
GCACAACGCGAAGAACCUUACCUGGUCUUGACAUCCACGGAACUUUCCAGAGAUGGAUUGGUGCCUUCGGGAACCGUGAGACAGGUGCUGCAUGGCUGUCGUCAGCUCGUGUCGUGAGAUGUUGGGUUAAGUCCGCAACGAGCGCGAACCUUGCCUUAGUUGCCAGCACGUAAUGGUGGGAACUCGUAAGGAGACCGCCGGUGACAAACCGGAGGAAGGUGGGGAUGGACGUCGAAGUCAUCAUGGCCCUUACGACCAGGGCCUACACACGUACUACAAUGGUGGGACAGAGGGCUGCAAACCCGCGAGGGUGAGCCAAUCCCAGAAACCCUAUCUCAGUCCGGAUUGGAGUCUGCAACGUCGACUCCGAUGAAGUCGGAAUCGCUAGUAAUCGCAGAUCAGCAUUGCUGCGGUGAAUACGUUCCC